rnacentral:tRNA from 1 species
GGAGGUGUUGCUGAGUGGUUGAAAGCCUUGGUUUGCUAAAUCAAUCUACAUUUUUAAUGUAGCGUGGGUUCGAAUCCUACCACUUCCA